GGUAUAAUUUAGACUGGUACAAUUCUUUGUCCUUUUUUGCCCCCGCCACCAAAGCAGGACUAGGAAGGCCCCCAAGAGCCCCCUCCUCAAGGACCCACAGAGACAGGAACGGCCAUAGCUCAGUGGUAGAGUACCUACGUUUCAUGCAGAAGGUCCCAGAUUCAAAAGCCAGCAUCUUCAGGUAGGGCUAGGAUGGACUCCUGCCUGAAACCCUAGAGCAGGCUUCCUCAAACUCGGCCCUCCAGAUGUUUUUGGCCUACAACUCCCAUGAUCCCUAGCUAGCAGGACCAGUGGACAGGGAUGAUGGGAAUUGUAGUCUGAAAACAUCUGGAGGGCUGAGUUUGAGGAAGCCUGGCCUAGAGAGCUGCUGCCAAUCAGUGUAGGCAGUACUGAGAUACAUAGACCAAUGGUCUGACUCAGUAUAAGGAAGCUUCCUGUGUUCCUAACAUAAAUGCCUCCGAAUAUCUACAGAACGCUUUUCCCACUCGACUAAAUAAGCAGAGCCUGCCUCCAGCAGGGCUUGCCAGGCACCAGGACCUGUAUUGUAAGAGAAGGAAGAGUGGCCACCUGUAAAACAAGAAAUAAUAUUGAAUCACCCUCAGGGAGCCGUUUCAGGGUCUUUGUAGCUAAAAGGGCUGCAAAGCACUUGCAUUGCAAAUUAAUUACCAUUAAUAAGCAUUGUAUGCUUGCAAAAGCACCCUAAAUGGGAUGUCAAGAAUGCUGAAAUGAAAGACAGUAAUGAAGAUGAAAAGCUAACCUUUCUUUUCAGGACAAUUAAUUGGAUUUUUCUUUAGAUCAAUUUCAGAAGCGGGAGCAACCAUUAAAGCCAAAAAUUUGAAGCCUGCCCUCUAAUGGCACUUCUAAGGCAUUCUGACUAGUCAAUAAUGGUCCUCUUUGGUCUCAUAAGACCAGCUGCUUUUGCUCUGCUCUGUUGCCACAAGUCUGUUGCUGUGGGGGGAAGGCAAAUAGGUUAUGAAAUUUGUCUUUUCUUUAUAUAUUUUUUUGAAUGCAGAAUAUACAGUGCCUCAACCGUAGGUAGUUCUCUCCAUGCUAUUUUCUCACUGCUUUCAAUGCAAAUUUACCUGGGAGCAAUAGAGAAGUUUCAACCUCUCCUGUUAGCCAAUCACUGUAAUGGGGAUGAGUGACGUGUGACAGAGUGGGGGGUGGCGAGUCAUAAAGUGGGCUGUGUGCCUUUGUGUGUGCACAAUUAGCACGUGGGCUGAGUGUGAUAUGCAUGUGUGAGAGCAAGUCUGGUGGCCGCAACCACAACUAGCAUGUGGAUUUCAUGGAAAUGGUUAUAUACCCAUUUGAGAUCCAUUCUCGCUGCGAUUCCAGCCACUCCGUCUCAAAAAGGAUAUUGCAGAGCUGGAAAAGUGGAUGGAGCAAGUCCCCUAUGAAGAAAAGUUACAACGUUUGGGGCUUUUUAGUUUACAAAAAAUGACAAAUAAGGGGUGGGGGGUCAUAGAGGGGUAUAAACUGAUGCAUAGUGACUGGAGAUGCAAAAAGGUUGAGGGAACCUUCCUCCAUAUGUGGUGGACUUGUAAAAGGGUAAAAGAGUAUUGUGAAAUGAUGCAUAAUGAAUUGAAAAAAAUUUUUUUAAGUACUUUCCCAAAAAACCCAGAGUCCUUUCUGUUGGGGAUAAUUGAGACUGAAAUUCCCAGGUGUCAAAAAAGGUUAUUUAUGUAUGCUACUACUGCAGCCCAUGUUUUGUUAGCCCCAAAAUGGAAAACGAGCAAAGUCCCAGCCAAAGAAGAGUAGCAACUUAAGUUGACAGAAUAUGCGCAGCUUGCAGACUUAACAUAUAGAAUAAGAGAACAAAAAGAACAUACGUUUAGAGAAGAUUGGAAUACGUUUAUUGAAUACAGUGGAACCUCGUGUUACGUACCAUCCUCCUUACGAAUGCUUUGGGUAACGAGCUCCGCUAACCCGGAAGUAAAUGCCCCUUGUUGCAAACUUUGCCCCAGGAUGUGAGCGGAAGUCGUGCGCUGGCAGCGGGAGGCCCCAUUAGCUAAAGUGGUGCUUCAGGUUAAGAACGGUUUCAGAUUAAGAACAGACCUCCAGAACGAAUUAAGUUUGUAACUGGAGGUACCACUGUACAUGAGAAAAAACUGUGCACAGCUGAAAACGCUGCCAGCAUUAAGAUAAAUUCAGCAGUGUAAAUAAGUUAUGAUGGAUGUAAUAAUGGAAUACUGAAUGGUACAGUUUCUGUAAAAUAUGCGGGGAUUUAUGAUAUGUAAAAUGAACCAUGGAAAGAGAAGGGAAGUUGUUAUUUUACGGAUCUAAAAAUGAGUACUUUAAAUUGU
rnacentral:lncRNA from 1 species